rnacentral:rRNA from 1 species
AACGAACGCUGGCGGCAUGCCUAACACAUGCAAGUCGAACGAGAUCUUCGGGUCUAGUGGCGCACGGGUGCGUAACGCGUGGGAAUCUGCCCUUUGGUUCGGAAUAACAGUUGGAAACGACUGCUAAUACCGGAUGAUGACGAAAGUCCAAAGAUUUAUCGCCAGAGGAUGAGCCCGCGUAGGAUUAGCUAGUUGGUGUGGUAAAGGCGCACCAAGGCGACGAUCCUUAGCUGGUCUGAGGGGAUGAUCAGCCACACUGGGACUGAGACACGGCCCAGACUCCUACGGGAGGCAGCAGUGGGGAAUAUUGGACAAUGGGCGAAAGCCUGACCCAGCAAUGCCGCGUGAGUGAUGAAGGCCUUAGGGUUGUAAAGCUCUUUUACCCGGGAUGAUAAUGACAGUACCGGGAGAAUAAGCUCCGGCUAACUCCGUGCCAGCAGCCGCCGUAAAAC